GCUCUACAACCCUUUGUGAACAUACCUAUAACUGUCGCUUCGGCGGGUAGGGUCUCCGUGACCCUCCCGGCCUCCCGCCCCCGGGCGGGUCGGCGCCCGCCGGAGGAUAACCAAACUCUGAUUUAACGACGUUUCUUCUGAGUGGUACAAGCAAAUAAUCAAAACUUUUAACAACGGAUCUCUUGGUUCUGGCAUCGAUGAAGAACGCAGCGAAAUGCGAUAAGUAAUGUGAAUUGCAGAAUUCAGUGAAUCAUCGAAUCUUUGAACGCACAUUGCGCCCGCCAGCAUUCUGGCGGGCAUGCCUGUUCGAGCGUCAUUUCAACCCUCAAGCUCUGCUUGGUGUUGGGGCCCUACAGCUGAUGUAGGCCCUCAAAGGUAGUGGCGGACCCUCCCGGAGCCUCCUUUGCGUAGUAACUUUACGUCUCGCACUGGGAUCCGGAGGGACUCUUGCCGUAAAACCCCCAAUUUUCCAAAGGUUGACCUCGGAUCAGGUAGGAAUACCCGCUGAACUUAAGCAUAUCAAUAAGCGGAGGAAAAGAAACCAACAGGGAUUGCCUCAGUAACGGCGAGUGAAGCGGCAACAGCUCAAAUUUGAAAUCUGGCCCUAGGCCCGAGUUGUAAUUUGCAGAGGAUGCUUUUGGUGCGGUGCCUUCCAAGUUCCCUAGAACGGGACGCCAGAGAGGGUGAGAGCCCCGUACAGUUGGACACCAAGCCUUUGUAAAGCUCCUUCGACGAGUCGAGUAGUUUGGGAAUGCUGCUCAAAAUGGGAGGUAUAUUUCUUCUAAAGCUAAAUACCGGCCAGAGACCGAUAGCGCACAAGUAGAGUGAUCGAAAGAUGAAAAGCACUUUGAAAAGAGGGUUAAACAGCACGUGAAAUUGUUAAAAGGGAAGCGCUUGUGACCAGACUUGCGUCCGGUGAAUCACCCAGCUCUCGCGGCUGGGGCACUUCGCCGGCUCAGGCCAGCAUCAGCUCGCUGUCGGGGACAAAAGCUUCAGGAACGUAGCUCUCUUCGGGGAGUGUUAUAGCCUGUUGCAUAAUACCCUUCGGCGGGCUGA
rnacentral:rRNA from 1 species